GCUUUCUUGUUGCUCAGUUGGUAGAGCAUUGCUCUAACAACGCAAAGGUCAUGGGGUCACAUCCUAGGGAAAGUA
rnacentral:tRNA from 1 species